AGUGAACGCUGGCGGUAGGCCUAACACAUGCAAGUCGAACGGCAGCACAGAGGAGCUUGCUCCUUGGGUGGCGAGUGGCGGACGGGUGAGGAAUACAUCGGAAUCUACUCUGUCGUGGGGGAUAACGUAGGGAAACUUACGCUAAUACCGCAUACGACCUACGGGUGAAAGCAGGGGAUCUUCGGACCUUGCGCGAUUGAAUGAGCCGAUGUCGGAUUAGCUAGUUGGCGGGGUAAAGGCCCACCAAGGCGACGAUCCGUAGCUGGUCUGAGAGGAUGAUCAGCCACACUGGAACUGAGACACGGUCCAGACUCCUACGGGAGGCAGCAGUGGGGAAUAUUGGACAAUGGGCGCAAGCCUGAUCCAGCCAUACCGCGUGGGUGAUGAAGGCCUUCGGGUUGUAAAGCCCUUUUGUUGGGAAAGAGAUCCAUCUGGUUAAUACCCGGGUGGGAUGACGGUACCCAAAGAAUAAGCACCGGCUAACUUCGUGCCAGCCGCCGCAGUAA
rnacentral:rRNA from 1 species